UAUUUUUUUUUAUAGUACGAAAGGACCUAAAAAAUUAAUUUUAUU
rnacentral:rRNA from 1 species